rnacentral:tRNA from 1 species
AGCCCUGUAGUGUAGUGGUAAUCAUACGAGGCCCUGGACCUUGUGACCCAGGUUCGAAUCCUGGCAGGGCUA